UGAAGAGCAGCAAGAGCCCCGAGAACCCGGAAGCCGAGCUCUGGAGUUCCCGCUGGACUUGCAGUUAAUUAGCUCUGCUGGAGGACUGCACUACAAGUGCGGAGAUGAAAACCAGAAUGCUUGGCGCCCCGGGGGAAGGUCUCACCCAAGCCCGGAACAAACAUGUCUGUGGGAGAAGCCUGGAGGUAACCUGUACCGUAGGCUCAAGAUGACCAUUCAUCUCCCCUCCAAGUUCUCAGAGACUUUUUAAGAAGCCUUAGAAACCAGACCAUGGAGGAAAGCGACCCAAGGUGCAGCCAAUCCUCCCAUUCUUCUUCUUUCUGUGGCAGCCAAUCCCUUUGAAACAUUUCCAAGGAGCUCCUUGGGAGGCAGAUGUGCUACAUUGUGAUUUGGACCCUUGAUCUUGAUGACAACUGAAUGGCUCCAGUCUGUGUGUUUGCCACCGAACAAACGGAGCUUGGCGGGGCUGUUUGUACAUGUGCAUGGUUUGCAAGUCAAUGGUGGCUUCCUUCCCUACCAACCACUGAAGGCAACAUGAACAACCAGCCUCGCAGGCAUUAUUAUGCUUGACUGCGACCACUUGGUCCUGUCAAAGGAAGACUCCCAGCUUUCCCUGUGGAAGUACGUGGCCCUGGGGGAAAAAAAUAAAAGGAAAUUGGGCAA